rnacentral:tRNA from 1 species
GUCGAUGUAGCUUAAUGGUAAAGCGCUAGGGACAUGUCGUAAAAAGACUAGAUAUAAUUGGUUCAAUUCCAAUCAUCGACACCA